AUUGAACGCUGGCGGCAUGCUUUACACAUGCAAGUCGAACGGCAGCGCGGUCUUCGUCUUGCUGGCGAGGGGCGGACGGGUGGGUAAUACAUCGGAACGUGCCCCGUCGUGGGGGAUAGAACGCCGAAAGCCCGAUUAAUACCGCAGACGAUCCGGGGGCGAAAGCGGGGGACAUUCGGAACACGCGCUGCUGCAGAGGACGAUGGUACGUUAGCUGGUUUGGGGGGUAAAGGCAUAGCAAGCCAACGCUCCGUAGCUGGUCUGAGGGGACGACCAGACAAUCUGGGACUGAGAAACGGCGACGCCGCCUACGGGAGGAAGGAGUGGGGAAGUUUGGACAAUGGGCGAAAGCCUGAACCAGUAAUGCAGCGUGUGUGCUGAAGGCCUUAGGGUUGUAAAGCUCUUAUGGCGGGAAGGAAAAGAACUGUGCCAAUACCACGGUUCGAUGACGGUACCCGAAGAGUAAGCCCCGGCUAACUACGUG
rnacentral:rRNA from 1 species